CCUACGGGAGGCAGCAGUGGGGAAUUUUGGACAAUGGGGGCAACCCUGAUCCAGCAAUGCCGCGUGAGUGAAGAAGGCCUUCGGGUUGUAAAGCUCUUUUGUCAGGGAAGAAACGGUUCUGGCUAAUAUCCGGAGCUAAUGACGGUACCUGAAGAAUAAGCACCGGCUAACUACGUGCCAGCAGCCGCGGUAAUACGUAGGGUGCGAGCGUUAAUCGGAAUUACUGGGCGUAAAGCGUGCGCAGGCGGUUGUGCAAGACAGAUGUGAAAUCCCCGGGCUCAACCUGGGAAUUGCAUUUGUGACUGCACGGCUAGAGUGUGUCAGAGGGGGGUAGAAUUCCACGUGUAGCAGUGAAAUGCGUAGAGAUGUGGAGGAAUACCGAUGGCGAAGGCAGCCCCCUGGGAUAACACUGACGCUCAUGCACGAAAGCGUGGGGAGCAAACAGGAUUAGAUACCCUGGUAGUCCACGCCCUAAACGAUGCCAACUAGUUGUCGGGUCUUAAUUGACUUGGUAACGCAGCUAACGCGUGAAGUUGACCGCCUGGGGGNGGUACGGUCGCGAGAGUAAACUACGAAGAGUAGACGNGNGAGAGNGCGAGCGACGACGAGGGAGGAGG
rnacentral:rRNA from 1 species